CCUCCAAGUUUGCUAAGUCCCCUUUCUCUCUUUCUCCGUCAAUUUGUUUUCCUUUUCCCAUGAUCUGAAGUAAGAAUACAAAGAAACUGAAGUAAUUGUUGCAGAUAUAGCCAUGCACAAAAACAGGUACUUUCUCCGUUGCAAUUUAUGUGAACAUGUUUGAUUGAACACGAUGUUUAAGAAAAAAAUAAAGAUUUUUGAAAUUUGUGGUCCAAAACAAGUUCAAAUGGGACCCAGAGUAUCUGUGUGGUUAUAAAAGCUUCUCAUUAAGAGUAGAGUUAUAACUUUAACCUAAAUUGUUACCAAAUUUAGAAAACGUUUCAUUUUUUUGGAACGGACCAAAAAGAAAAUAGAUUCACAUAAACUGGAACGGAGAGAGUAUAUGAUAAAACAUUUUUUGCAGAUAUAGCCAUGCAAAAAAGGUAAACACACUUUUCUAAAGUUAUUAGAGACUAAGUGACUAACUUUUUUAGUUGAGGUUGAAGACUGAAAAAUCUGAGAAAUGGCUUUAGUAUGGAAUGGUUUUUUCUUUCUGUUCAACAAACCGACUGUUUGAGAUAAUAAGAAGUUGAAAAUUCGUAUGGAGGAGAAGAGAUCGUACAAGGACACCAGAACCACGAGGUUAGGGAGAAAAAUG
rnacentral:lncRNA from 1 species